AUGACGGUUGACAAGAAAAAACAUGAUGCUAAGAAAAGCACAGAUGACUCAAAUAAGGAUGGAGCAGAAACUGAACAAAAGUGCACAAUGGAGAAAGGGGGCAAAGAUAGUGAUUCCGUCAACAAAGCCAUCGAAGACCUGUACAACGUUGUAUGCAAGCCAUGGACAAAGAGAGAAAUGGAUGAGCUUUUCAUUACAACGGACAAGUUUGAUGUCAAUCUAGGCCAUGUCGCCGAAAGCUUCAAGGUCGGUAAAUCAGUAUGCACCCAAGCAAUCGAGCCCAUGCUAACAAUCUUGAGAAAACAACUCAAUGGCACAGGGAGAAAGAUUCUGUCGUUAAGCAACAUUUUCCUUCUACCAUGUUCGUUUUGCGGGUUUGAGCAAGACGAAACUAUAAGUCAUUACUUCACCAUUACAGUUAACAUGCAAAAACAACGCUUUGAACUCCUUGACUCUUCCAUUGCAUAUCCAGGCACAAUAGAAUUCUCAACAAUGUAA
rnacentral:rRNA from 1 species